GAGCAUUCAAGAUGGGCUGGUUC
rnacentral:siRNA from 1 species